rnacentral:lncRNA from 1 species
CUACAUUUCCAAAAAACAAAAAUCUAACCAAAAUGGACAUCAUUUACCAUAGCAGGAGAAAUGUUCCCAUCAAGCAGUUGAUUAUCAAGAGCACGCUAGGCCCUCGGGUACCCUGUACCACCAACAAGCAGUAUUCGGCCAAGUCCGGCUCUUGAUCCCCAGGUUGAGCUAGCCCCCCACCCAUAAAUGUUCAAAAUAUUCACAUCAAAAAAUGAAACACAGAAUAAUAAUAGCAUAGCUCUCUUAACAAAUCUUAAACAAGUAAGGUAAUAGUUUUACAAUUUUUUUAAAAAUGGAGGUUUGUACUUGCAGCAAGAGAAGAACACGGCCUGAAAUGGUUUUCUUCCAAAAAGCAUACAAGAUGAGAAGGGAAAAGCACCAUCUUUCUACUAAUAAACUACAAGGAUAGGCGAUGACAUGCCAAGACUUCUCAGCU